rnacentral:rRNA from 1 species
GGGUGCGAUCAUACUAGCACUAAUGCACCGAAUCCCAUCAGAACUCCGAAGUUUAGCGUGCUUAAGUGAGUGUAGUACUAAGAUGGGCCUUGUCACAGGAAUUUCACAGACACAUGCAAUCC